GGCACUUUGGCCGAGUGGUUAAGGCGAAAGACUUGAAUAGUUUGAUCUUCGGAUCUAUCAUCAAGGCCAUCUUUUGGGAUUUUCCCGCGCAGGUUCGAGUCCUGCAGGUGUCG
rfam:Wickerhamomyces ciferrii, NRRL Y-1031 F-60-10, WGS project CAIF01000000 data, contig: 00032